rnacentral:rRNA from 1 species
ACGCUGGCGGCAGGCCUAGCACAUGCAAGUCGAGCGGUAGAGAGAAGCUUGCUUCUCUUGAGAGCGGCGGACGGGUGAGUAAUGCCUAGGAAUCUGCCUGGUAGUGGGGGAUAACGUCCGGAAACGGACGCUAAUACCGCAUACGUCCUACGGGAGAAAGCAGGGGACCUUCGGGCCUUGCGCUAUCAGAUGAGCCUAGGUCGGAUUAGCUAGUUGGUGAGGUAAUGGCUCACCAAGGCGACGAUCCGUAACCGGUCUGAGAGGAUGAUCAGUCACACUGGAACUGAGACACGGUCCAGACUCCUACGGGAGGCAGCAGUGGGGAAUAUUGGACAAUGGGCGAAAGCCUGAUCCAGCCAUGCCGCGUGUGUGAAGAAGGUCUUCGGAUUGUAAAGCACUUUAAGUUGGGAGGAAGGGCAGUUACCUAAUACGUAUCUGUUUUGACGUUACCGACAGAAUAAGCACCGGCUAACUCUGUGCCAGCAGCCGCGGUAAUACAGAGGGUGCAAGCGUUAAUCGGAAUUACUGGGCGUAAAGCGCGCGUAGGUGGUUUGUUAAGUUGGAUGUGAAAUCCCCGGGCUCAACCUGGGAACUGCAUUCAAAACUGACAAGCUAGAGUAUGGUAGAGGGUGGUGGAAUUUCCUGUGUAGCGGUGAAAUGCGUAGAUAUAGGAAGGAACACCAGUGGCGGAGGCGACCACCUGGACUGAUACUGACACUGAGGUGCGAAAGCGUGGGGAGCAAAC